UAAUGAUGAUGUCUCUAAGACCUGCCAUGGCCUAUCUGCUAAAGAGCUUUCCUUACAUUGACUAGAUUUGAGGGUGCCCUUUCCAGGAAUAAAGAAAAGGACUGUUUACUGCACAAUCUCAUGAUAUCACAGAACAAUUCUUCCAACACUACAAAGUGAAAUCUCAUAAAAAGAUGGGUACCCGAAGCCACAGAAUGUUCCACAAAUGAAAAGCAAACCUUCCCAUCCUUUUGCUAACCUUAUGCUGUGUUACGAUGCAAGGCUUUCAAGAAGAACACAGAUCAGAUAUCAGCUCC